rnacentral:sRNA from 1 species
AGACAAGUAGAAGCACCCGCUUCUCACCUGAUCGACGCAAUGGAAUUGUAGUUGGCUGGUUUACGAAUGAUUAUCCUUUGUAGCGGAUAUUUAAGUGUGGGUGCAGAUGUGUGCCCACACUUUUUUGA